ACAUGCAAGUCGAACGGACCCUUCGGGGUUAGUGGCGGACGGGUGAGUAACACGUGGGAACGUGCCUUUAGGUUCGGAAUAGCUCCUGGAAACGGGUGGUAAUGCCGAAUGUGCCCUUCGGGGGAAAGAUUUAUCGCCUUUAGAGCGGCCCGCGUCUGAUUAGCUAGUUGGUGAGGUAAAGGCUCACCAAGGCUACGAUCAGUAGCUGGUCUGAGAGGAUGACCAGCCACAUUGGGACUGAGACACGGCCCAAACUCCUACGGGAGGCAGCAGUGGGGAAUCUUGCGCAAUGGGCGAAAGCCUGACGCAGCCAUGCCGCGUGGAUGAUGAAGGUCUUAGGAUUGUAAAAUCCUUUCACCGGUGAAGAUAAUGACUGUAGCCGGAGAAGAAGCCCCGGCUAACUUCGUGCCAGCAGCCGCGGUAAUACGAAGGGGGCUAGCGUUGCUCGGAAUUACUGGGCGUAAAGGGAGCGUAGGCGGACAUUUAAGUCAGGGGUGAAAUCCCAGAGCUCAACUCUGGAACUGCCUUUGAUACUGGGUGUCUUGAGUGUGAGAGAGGUAUGUGGAACUCCGAGUGUAGAGGUGAAAUUCGUAGAUAUUCGGAAGAACACCAGUGGCGAAGGCGACAUACUGGCUCA
rnacentral:rRNA from 1 species